CGCAAGCCUGACGGAGCAACGCCGCGUGUGGGAAGAAGGCUCUUGGGCUGUCAACCACUUUUCUCAGGGAAGAAGCCCUGACGGUACCAGAGGAAUCAGCCUCGGCUAACUCCGUGCCAGCAGCCGCGGUAAUACGGAGGAGGCAAGCGUUAUCCGGAAUUAUUGGGCGUAAAGCGUCCGCAGGGGGCACAUCAAGUCUGCUGUUAAAGGCUGGAGCUUAACUCCGGUAGAGCAGUGGAAACUGGUGUGCUAGAGGGCGACAGGGAUAGAGGGAAUUCCCAGUGUAGCGGUGAAAUGCGUAGAGAUUGGGAAGAACACCGGUGGCGAAAGCGCUCUACUGGGUCGCACCUGACCCUCAGGGACGAAAGCUAAGGGAGCG
rnacentral:rRNA from 1 species